rnacentral:tRNA from 1 species
GCGCUGUUAGCUCAGCUGGGAGAGCACCUGGGUCACAACCAGGUUGUCGUGAGUUCGAGCCUCGCACGGCGCACCA